AUGGCUACUUCUCUCCGAGGAGGAGUUGCAAGCACUCCUAAGGAUCAUGUCCAACAGCCUCACGCCAUCCUGCGAGGUAUAAAGAACGGCUACUGGUGCUCUCGCGCCUUGAAAUGUUUAUAUGGGGAGAGUGGCUCUCCCAGGCGGGCUGGAGCACUGCCAGGCAGUAACUUUCCUCUCCUCCUCGAGGAAGUGAAUCAGGGCCGCCCUGGCCCGGAUCAGUUCGCAGGUGUCCAGCACCCAGUAGGAGACUUGGUCCCUGACCCCCCCAGCGCCCACUCCCUCUGGACUCCUCGGGGAGGUGUGCCAUCAGCGAGGUAGAGGCGGAGCUCAAACAUUGCCAACCAGUAUAAAAGGCUGAUUCUGGGUGAAGAGCAAAAAAGGUAAAAGAAGGGAAGAACUACGGAAAUGAGGAAGAAAGGAGGAGGCAAGAUUUCUCGCCAAUUCUGAGGAGAUGGCCCAGCAGGUGCCCAAUGCCAGUGAGGGUAACUGGGGGUGGGGGGGAGGGAUAAAGCAGAAUGGCCACUUCACAGAGCCGGCUUUCUGGGCAUGUCAUCUGGGCAGUUGCAUGUGGCCCCCCAAUCAGAUGGGCCUCACCCUUGGUUUAAUGUUCUGCUGUCACCAUCUUGAAAUUCUGAAUAAUUUUAUUUUUGAACUUGUGUUUUACAACUGAAAUCUAAUGAGACAGUUGAGCAGUUGAGAGAGGAGAUACGCUCAAUAUGUGUCCACUGCCCCUUGCCUCCCCAGGAGUACAGAAUUCCAGUGGACUCACUGAGUUCAUCGAAACUCUGAGUGUAAGCCGAGCGUGUUGUGUCUACUGCUGUCAGCCCCAAGAGGCCAGGCUCUUCCCUAGAACCAGAAGAUGGUUCCAACGCAGAAGACACACAAUGAUGUUCUAAAAAACACAGUGACCCAGAGAAUCUCUCAUAUCCUUUCUUUUUUUUUUUUCUUACUUCCCUGAAUUAGCCAACCACCUACUCUAAAAAUGAUGACAUAGAGGGAAAGGGAAAAAUAGGUCAACCCAUUGAUUCUUUUCCUGUCAGUCUUUCUCGUCCAUCAGGAAGCCAAAGGUAGAGACUGUUGGUAAGAAUGUGUGUACCAUAAAUGAAAUAAAAAGAAUUGUGUUUUGUGCA
rnacentral:lncRNA from 1 species